CCGGAAGGCGCUCCGCGCUGGCUCGGCGGCCCUCGUCCCCUAAGUGUCCUUUGUCCUUCCGGCCACGGGACGAGCCCUUGGUGCCGGGGCAGCCCCACUCUGCACCAGCAGCCAUUUAGUCCCCCGCGCCUGCCUUGCGCAAACGGGGCUCCCACGCCCACCCCACUUCCUCCCUUUUAUAGUUUCAUUACUAAGUGGCUUUAACAUAGAACCGCGCAGUUCGCCUAAAGGAGACUGGGGACAAAAUGGAGGGAGCAGCUCGCUAAUGAACAUGCGUCAGCACGUUGGUGUCCGCGGAGAGGGCGCGCGUGUGGCGAAGUCUUCCGGCGUCCCCGAAGGAAAAAUGCCUCUGCAACGUGCAUUUUUGAUGUGAAGUCGUGUUCCACGUUUCACUCCUCCCUAAGACUGCGACAUAACGUGAAACAAAAUACUGCAUAUUGUCGAGCUCAAUGGAGAACGCGUGCAUGCAGGGUCGAGCCCAUUUUUCAGCCAUCAAAAUAAUACAAUGCAAUUUUUUCUAGUAUUUAUAAUUUUUCCCCUUUAACUUUAUGCCUCCUUUAUGUACUUCUACAUUUCACGUUUAGGUUAUAUGUAACCUAAGGGCACUCCUUAGGAAACUGGACUUGUAGAAUAUGUCAUUGUGCAAAGUCAUGCUGCUUCGAAUUAUGCUGCGCGCUGGCACACAGCAAGCGCUCAGUGUUAACGAUGUCGAAUUCAUAUUAAGUACUGUUCAUUGGGCGUUUUCUUACUCCGUAAGGACCUUACUUGCAUGCCCAUUUGAUACCUUUCUACAAUCCCAGUAAAAUACACAGUUAAGGUUGUGUAUUUAUGUGUCACAUUUUUUUUUUUGAGGUUUUUUUUUGCGGGGGCGGGGGGGGUUUUUUUGUUUUUGUUUUUGAAAUUGUAGUUAGAAACUACAUACUGUGCCGGGCGCGGAGGCUCACGCCUGUAAUCCCAACACUUUGGGGGCUGAGGCGGGCGGAUCACGAGGUCAGGAGUUCGGGACCAGCCUGGUCAACUUGGUGAAACCUCGCCUCUACUAAAAAUACAAAAAUUAGCCUGGCGUGGUGGGGGGCGCCUGUAAUCCCAGCUACUCGGCAGCCUGAGGAAGGAGAAUAGCUUGAAAACGGAAGGCGGAGGUUGCAGGGAGCCGAGAUCGUGCCACUGUACUCCAGCCUGGGAGAAAGAGCGAAACUCCGUCUGGGCGGGGGGAGAAACUACAUACUGCUCUACUGUUUGCUAGGGAAAAGAAAAAAAGUCACCCUACUGGUGAUAUCCUGCCAAUUCUGGAUUCUCUGCUGAAAUUAUAAUGCUAACUAUGCUUUGAACUCCGGAUCUGAAAGGCCGUGUUGAAGAUUUUCACUCUGGGAGAAGCUCGGUACCAUGUUGUAAGCAGUCCUAUGGAGAGCCCAGUGGCAAGGCCUCCUGCCAGUAAUCAGCAAUAAACCUGAGCCUGCUGACAACCAUGCCAGUGAGCUUGGGAGCUGGUCCUCCACCCCGGCAAGCCUGAAGAGGACCCUAUCCCUGUGACAGACCUUGAGCAG
rnacentral:lncRNA from 10 species